rnacentral:lncRNA from 1 species
AUGGCAACACUCACUCUGGGCACGAUGCUGGAUGUUGCCCUCGGGUCAUCAAGAGCUGGAGCUGUCGACUUUGAGCAGCUGUACAACCUCCUGAAUGGGAUGCUUUUGCACCUGGGCCUGCGGGAUCUGCCUGUCCAGGAGAACGGGGAACCACUGGAGGGGGCCGAGGGAAGCCCUUUCUCUGCCGCUUUCCUUGAGGAGUUGAUGCGGAAAGUGGAAGCCAAUGAAAAAGAACUCGCUGAGGUCCGGGCUCGUUGCCAGCAGCUCAAUGAGGAGGUCACUGAGAUGAAGGUGGAGCAGUCCCGCAUGACAGAGGACAUGCAGAGGAUGAAGGAGAAUUUCGGCGCGGACUCGCUGGAUGACCUCCGUAACCAGCUGCUGGAAAGUGUCCUGUCCGCCGUGAGGGACAUGUUGAUGGGCGACCAAGACUCCCCAGAUCAGACUAGGUCCAAGCAGAUAAACCCGUUGGAUGACGACGAGCUGAUUGUCAUCGGCAAUGAAAUUACCCUCGUGGAAAGGACACCUGUACCAAAGCCCGUCAGCCCCCUGCCCCCCAAGGCCGAGACAGAGGACAGAGAGGAUUCCCUGGAGGCAACUACGAGCAGCCACCCAGUCUCCUUCGGGCCAGAUGACGUGGGACAGAUCAAGGAUGAAGAGAUCAAGAUAAGUAUCUCUGAGGCAGAGGCUCUUCCCAGCCAGCUGGAUGUUCCCCCUGAGAUGACCGAUGUGGGAGAGAUCAAGGAUGAAGAGAUCGAGAUGAGCAUCUCCAAGAAAAAGAGUUUGGAUGACAGACUCACUGCCUCAAGAAUGCAUCCAGGAGCCCCUGGCACCCACCCCCCCAUCCAGCGGGUGCAGUCAUUACGAGGCACCCCAGGAUCCCCGACCCCCCGGAUCCCAGGGGAGAGUGUGGCUGGGACCAGCAGCAAGCUCCUGACACCCAAGGAGGAACGUGAAGGAGGCAGCUCCAGGAUGGAGUCACUCCCCGCCAAACCUGGAAUGAUGAUCCUAAAGGUGCCCUCUUCCAAGUACUCACCUUGUGAGCCGCUUGUGCGCUUACGCUCUGAGAUCCCAUCCAUGCCACCGCUAUCCCCCGGCCUCUCCGGGCGCCUGUGCCAUGGUCGCAAGCAGCACCAAACACAGGAGCAAAGGGAGCAGGCAGCUGAGGGAUAUUCCCGCAGAUCACCGAUGUACUGUGGGGGUAAACACACCAGCACCUACCCCGUGCAGCCCAUGGAGCCCCUCCUUCCAGACCCCAACAAGCCUGGCGUGAUUGAACUGGUGGGCAAGGAUGGACUCGUGUACCGGGGCCGGGAUACCUAGGGGAUCUGAGCAAGCAACUCCAGCCUGCAGAAAUAAAGGGUGACGAGCAGCCA